GUUUGAGUGAUGACUUCAAUUGUCGGAUACCCCUUCACCCCGUUCAUGGGUGAAACAAUUAGUCUGACAAAC